rnacentral:rRNA from 1 species
GACGAACGCUGGCGGCGUGCUUAACACAUGCAAGUCGAGCGGAAAGGCCUGCUUUCCCUUGUGGAUUGCGGGUACUCGAGUGGCGAACGGGUGAGUAACACGUGAGUGAUCUGCCCCCAACUUGGGUAUAAGCCUGGGAAACUGGGUCUAAUUCCCGAUAGGACUGCAGGGUGGUGCCUGUGGUGGAAAACGAUUUUCUAGUGGUUGGGGAUGAGCUCGCGGCCUAUCAGCUUGUUGGUGGGGUAAUGGCCUACCAAGGCGGCGACGGGUAGCCGGCCUGGGAGGGUGGACGGCCACAUUGGGACUGAGAUACGGCCCAGACUCCUACGGGAGGCAGCAGUGGGGAAUAUUGCACAAUGGGCGGAAGCCUGAUGCAGCGACGCCGCGUGGGGGAUGACGGCCUUCGGGUGGUAAACUCCUUUCGACCGCGAGGAAGCCACCUGGUUGGAAGGGUGGUGACGGUAGUGGUAGAAGAAGCACCGGCUAACUACGUG